UAACGACGACGAUUUUGCCAUAUUUCUUCCUUUCGAUUUUCCCGGGAAAAUUCGAGGAGUGAUUUUCAAAUUGGUUUUAUUUACCCUGAUGCCAAUCUCAUCUCCGUGUUGAAUUGGAGAUCUGCUUCGUGAAGUAGAUUAUUAACUAUGGAUUUCGAUUUCUCAUUGCGCUUUGAUUAUGCAGUUUCAAGGCAAUGGCAAUUGUCUUGGAUGGAACUGACUCGGGCGGUGAUUGGGAGUUAUUGCGAAAUUUCGAUUGCGUUGAGUGCGGUGCAUUGGUGUCAAACAGUAUUCGACUGGAUUCAUAAUCUACGAAAGAUUGGAGCACUGCUAGUUCUUUACUUCUAUUCCACUGUAGAGGCGAUGUAAACAAAAUCAGGAAAGGGGGCUUAACGAAGUAAAGGCUAGGGACGUGCUGACGUUGGUCGGAAAUUCUGGAUGGAGUCUGGGAAGAAAUGUGUCCUGUCGUUUCAUUUGAUGGGCAUUAUAUGGAUUCCGUGUGUUUCUUUUUCUAUUGGUGUAGAUAAAAAGUUGAGUCAAAGUAUGGCAGAUUGGGCAACAGUGAAGGAUGCAGUAUGACUUGGGUAUUUGAAAUGCAGGUGAGAAAGUUAAAGAUUUGAAAUCACCAACAUAUGAUGUGCUCUUAACGUUUUGGAGAUUACUCAGAUAACUACUAACCAAUAAUUAAGAGCAUUCAUAGUUUUUUUACAGAAGACAAGCACUGAUAAUUUGUUAAACUAUCAUUUUGAUAUUUGUGGGUGUGCUAGACCAGUUUGAGAUAACCACUAACAAAGAUCAUUGAUGGUUAAACUAUCAUUUUGAUAUUUGUGAGUGUUCUAGACCAACUGCGCACAUAUUCUCACGAUAUAUACUCAUCGAAGUUUUAUGCUCUCAGUUUACAUUUACUUAUUUGAGAAACAUGUGAAUCAAUAGUUUUUAUAUGAAAUACUCCGCUCUUUCAUGGAAUAGCUUCCUGUAAUAGAAAAGUUUGAUGGAAGAGUAGGAUAGAGCAAUUGCAUUGCUUGCUUUUAUAGAUGUUUCCAACUGCGCUUUUGUGAAGACGUCCUUGGACACAUGCUACAAAUUACAAUUCCUUGAACUCAGCUGGGUGAAGGCUGUUAUCAUUACUAACCAGAAACAUGCACAAGAAGAUUCAAUUUCAGCUGUUAGAAAAUAACCGAAGUGGGGCUGUCUGGAAAGUAAAUGAAAUAGAUACUAAACACUUGGAUUGCCGUAUGGGUAGAUGAAAGAACCUAAAUGAAGGAGUGGAUUGAUCAAGGAUGACAAAGGAGACCUUAGGAUCAGUUUCUCUCAAAACAAAACCAAGACCAAAAUCGAUUAAUAAUUGUAGAUCAUAUCAUAAGCAUAGAUAUACAGAAAUGGAACUAGAUGGCUUCUAAUCAAGAAAGAAGAAGAAAAUGAACAGGCAAAGUGUCAAUCUGCCUAUCAAGAAAAUUCACUCAGAUUUCACCAAAAGUACAAAAACCCACAUGGCAGAGUGAUUCAAAUUUGAACUAGCUUGAAAUUUAGCAUGUGUUUCACUUGCGACAGCUUCAAAUUUGCAUAAUCCAUCGUCAAAAUUUAGAGCGUAGCUGCAAGGAUCAUACUGAAACCUGAACUGCUGCUUGCUUCCGUUCUUGAUGGCUUUCUUCAUCGCAGCUCUCAUCCUCCAGAACAGUUUCUUGAAUUGCUUUCUACUGUAAGUAUUCAUCCAUUCUAUGCCUCCCACAAAUCCCAUUUAUACAACGUCAACCUCUAAACUCUAAAAUUUCUGCUGCUAAUCCCAAAAUGUCUUGAAAUGAAGAGCAGGUUGUGAUAGUUUCUGGGUAUUUGAGGAAGAUUAUAAAGGAUUCACAGACACAGAGACAAACAAUAGCAGUUGCAAUCUGAGGUUUGUGCAGAAGUGUCAGAACCAAAACAACAAAAGACGAUUCGCCUUUUUGUAUACAGAAGGAGGGCGAAAUGAGAGAGGGCAAAGCGUAAUCUUUUGGCCUUCCAAUGAAGCUGCGCAGUUUAUGUUGAGCCUCUACGAUGAUCGGCCUUUUCUCCUUGGAGUCAUGUUGGAAUGCUCAAAUUCCAUCAACUACAGCGAUAAAGACAGAGAAGGAGUAGGAGAAGGAAAAGGAGAGAGAGAGAGAAAGAGAGGGAGAGCUAAUAGCAAUUGCAGUGGGCAGAGAGCCUACAGAGACAUAUCAAUAUCGAAUAUUGUUGCGGCAAAAGUAACGAAGGAAGGUGACUAUGUUCAACGCAAAACAAAUGCGGAGGGUUGAGAUCUUAAGAAAGAUCAAAUGGACAGUAUCCCUCGCUUUACUGAUAUCUCAAUUUUCAGCCAGGAUAGGACAUGGAUGGUAUUCCUCUUAGACCUAAAAUUUGUCAAGUUUAAGCCAUUUCUACGUCAAUUUAUGAUGCAAAAGUAUAAAGAGGAAAUGAAUCGGGGUUGGAUUGAAGCAUGCUAAAUUGGUGUAUUGCUUUUUAAGAUUAGGUUAGGUGAUAGGAAAAUGACUUUUUAUGUUAUUGGGUAAAAACUUAGCUUUACUGUUGGAAGCCGAAAGUGUGUUGGCUAAAACAUAGAAAAAGUUCCACGUUUUAGAUUUCCAAUGUCACACACAUCAAUAGGAUCUCUGCUGGAUUUCUUCGAUAUCUUUUUUUUGUUAGCUUUUUUGCAGUAUCGAAUAUUUAUUUCUCAAGUAGGUUUGAUUUUCUUUACGGUGUAUGGUAAAUCAAAAUGGAAAUAAAUUACAAGCUGAAUGAUAAUAUCGGUAAAAUUCCAUGUGUCUGUUUUUUUU